rnacentral:rRNA from 1 species
UUCCUACGGGGGGCAGCAGUGGGGAAUAUUGCACAAUGGGGGGAACCCUGAUGCAGCAAUGCCGCGUGAAGGAUGAAGGUUUUCGGAUUGUAAACUUCUUUUGUACGGGACGAAGAAAGUGACGGUACCGUAAGAAUAAGCCACGGCUAACUACGUGCCAGCAGCCGCGGUAAUACGUAGGUGGCAAGCGUUAUCCGGAUUUACUGGGUGUAAAGGGCGUGCAGCCGGGAAGACAAGUCAGAUGUGAAAUCCCGCGGCUCAACCGCGGAACUGCAUUUGAAACUGUUUUUCUUGAGUACCGGAGG